rnacentral:rRNA from 1 species
AUGAACGCUGGCGGCGUGCCUAAUACCUGCAAGUCGAGCGAACGGACGAGAAGCUUGCUUCUCUGAUGUUAGCGGCGGACGGGUGAGUAACACGUGGAUAACCUACCUAUAAGACUGGGAUAACUUCGGGAAACCGGAGCUAAUACCGGAUAAUAUUUUGAACCGCAUGGUUCAAAAGUGAAAGACGGUCUUGCUGUCACUUAUAGAUGGAUCCGCGCUGCAUUAGCUAGUUGGUAAGGUAACGGCUUACCAAGGCAACGAUGCAUAGCCGACCUGAGAGGGUGAUCAGCCACACUGGAACUGAGACACGGUCCAGACUCCUACGGGAGGCAGCAGUAGGGAAUCUUCCGCAAUGGGCGAAAGCCUGACGGAGCAACGCCGCGUGAGUGAUGAAGGUCUUCGGAUCGUAAAACUCUGUUAUUAGGGAAGAACAUAUGUGUAAGUAACUGUGCACAUCUUGACGGUACCUAAUCAGAAAGCCACGGCUAACUACGUG